UACGUAGGGUCCGAGCGUUGUCCGGAAUUAUUGGGCGUAAAGGGCUCGUAGGCGGUCUGUUGCGUCGGGAGUGAAAACUUACAGCUUAACUGUGAGCGUGCUUUCGAUACGGGCAGACUUGAGGCAUUCAGGGGAGAACGGAAUUCCUGGUGUAGCGGUGAAAUGCGCAGAUAUCUGGAGGAACACCGGUGGCGAAGGCGGCAUCCUGGACCGGUAUUGACGCUGAGGCGCGAAAGCCAGGGAGCAAACGGG
rnacentral:rRNA from 1 species